ensembl:snoRNA SNORA73 Small nucleolar RNA SNORA73 family
GCAACACAGAUACCCCGGGAGGUCACUCUCCCCAGGCUCUGUCCAAGUGGCCUACAGGAGCAUAGGGUUCUGCCCCACGAUGACAGCCCCUUUCCACAAUGGUGGGGAAGAAGCUGGACUUGAGUCUGUGCCUGCAUAUUCCUACAACUGCUCAGGAUCCCAUGGACAAUGACUGAGGAGACAAACCACGCAGGAAAAAAUG